rnacentral:lncRNA from 1 species
AUUAUCGGGGGCCCCAGGCUAGUGCCUAGUUGUGCCUAUUGGGUAAUCCACCACUGCGGGUCACCGAUACUAUUUAGAGUGACCCAGCUUCGGCUAGGCCGGACCGAAUGGGGCUGGUGGCUGCCAUUCUCACUUAAAAAAUUGUGGGCCCGACGGUAACCAAGGAAAAGCUUUACUUGCUACCGGGCAUAUCGGAAGCGGUGGGUUUGGGCCUUUUUUCCGGGCGGGGACGAAAACCGUUUAGGCCGGAGCCUUAUAACAUUUCUUUUUAAUCAAAUUUAGUACGGGGCCGGCCCGCCAAUUAAAAAAACGAAUCCCUUCCACUCCGUUUAAGUACGGCCGGUCCAGUCGGCCCCUUCUCACCGGACUGGACGCGCUUCCCGAUCCAUUCGCCGUUACUCUCCACCUCUUCUCGGUACGGUGAUGACUUAUUCGUUUUUAAAAUGACCGGAGAAGGCCGGCCGGGCCUAACUACUCCCGUCCAACUUUCCGGGCGGAAAGAAGCGAAAAUCAAACCGAAAACGGACCAAAAGGGUUAAACUACGGUAGAUCUCUAAGCGACGCUUAUAAUAUCCGGCCUCCAGCCCGCCAUAGGAAGAAAGUAAGCCGAGAAGUCGGGAUAGAGCCGCUACCGUCGCCUCUACUCGGGUCUGGGUGGUGGUCUUACCUUCCGAAACGGUGGACUCGGUAGCCGUGGUGAGUGGCGGCCCGCCCCUUAAGCUUCGGGCCCGGCUUGGACCGAUUUUUUCCCUCAGUGGUUUUUCCGGGAUAGCCUAGAUUUCUAAAAAGAAAAGCGCGUGGGGCAGCCAUCCAUCCUUAAACCCGAUGGUCUGUCGUCUGUACCGGUAAUCCGACGGAAUCCAAAGUUUGGCUAAAAGUUGGAGCCAAAAGAUAAAGAUGGUGUAGGGAAUUGGAUGGAAAAGGCGGAGCCGUACGCUGGACCAGAGACCGCCCGGAUCUCGGCUCCAACUGGAGAUACAUUUUAGUCAGUCCCAAAUGGCGUCGGAACCUUCUAAAUUCCACGGAAAGAGACGCGUGGCGGCCCCAGACCGUCCUUUCCUCCCCAACUCCGGAUGGGGCCGGAAGAACGGAAAUUGUCGGACGGCGCCUACUGGAAUGGGAACCGGGUCGUAUAAUAUACGUAUAUGAAUACUUUAACCUGGAUAAGCGAAAUGGCGGCGACUUUCUGGUAAGAAGCGAUUAAGAGUUUCUACCUGGGAAAUAAUGGGAAAGUGAUUUCCCAGGUAAAUUCUAUCGGCGCGUAUUUUCCGAAUAAGUAGGCUACGACAUAAAUAAUCGAUAAAAAAAUGAUGACCCACCCGUAGAUAUCUACCGGACGGUUAUUUUUUUUAUCGAUUAUUCGUCCGUAGGCUGGAGGUACCGACGAUAUCUAGAGUGGCUGUUUAGAUGGGGCUGGCCACCCAGAUGGGGAAGAGGAGGAACGGGAUUCGGUGCGGGUGACCCUGGCCGGUUCCCUCAACCUGGACCUAACUAGAAAUUUGAAUAGAUGAUAGUUUUCCAGCAAUUGCUUAUUUCCUUUGAAACUUCCUUCGAACUACGUCGGAUAAACGUGUCUUUGGGCCGGAAUAAAUAAAUAAUUUGGUAGGCGGGAAUGUGGUUAGAUAAGAGCCAAGUACCAAAUUAUUUACUCGGCGCUUAAUAUUUGGCCCGUUAACCCAGUCCGGUUUUAUCAGAAUGCCUGCAAAUUUGGCUGUUGGCAUUAGCGGCGGCAAAUUUUUCUUCGUCUUCGACUGGUCGGCCCUAAAAAACCGCCGGUUGUCCCAAAUCGGACAGUCCCGGUGAAAAUCGGUGACGUUUCUCCUUCCCUUACUAGCGGCAGUCGAUGGCCAGCUCCCAGUCGGGCCGGAACCGUUGGCUCUAUCGUUUACUCUUGUAUAAGAUGGUGGUAGAUCCUUUCGUUAUACGGUACCGAGAAAUUUACUUUACCUACUACCCAAAUCCUUAAAUUGUUUGUAUAGGCCACUUUAAUAUUUUACCAUUUUUCCCUCCAGCGCUUCUUUCCGCCCCAUCCGCCUAGACGUACCGGCCUGGCUGGGGGGGCGGGCGGAAACUGCGCCCCAUCGGAACGCGCUGUCGGUGCACGUGCGGUUGGGCACCGGCAUCUUUCCGACGGAACUCGGCCGCCUGGCUCCACUUCCGCCGCCCGUCAUUUGCCGGCCCCGGCCCCAGGAAUCUGGCUGGGCCGGUGGGGACUCGGAUGCUAAAUUUGCAAUUUUUCUUACGCCAGCCGCUGGUCGGCCAAAUUUGAUCGGUGUCGGACGGCCCCUAGCGCACCUUCCACGCUUGGAAUUUAACUUUUUCCGCUAGGGAGGGAAAGAGACAUCUUCCACUAUCGGCAUCACGGUUUUCCUGUUCCCAGUCUUCCGAUGGUGCGUGGUAGGCCUCUCCGGGCCGAAUUAUCUCUUCCUCGGCCGCCUUCUCCGGUAUCGGCCGAUAACGUAUACGGGAAAGAUGCCGUUGAAGGCGCGCAGGCCGGACCCAUUCCAUUUGACAUCUUAGCGUCUGGCAGUUUUUGGUUUGGUCUACGGGGGCGGGCAAGACCACGGACCCCAGGUAUUUUUUCUUCGGAGGAUCGAUUACGGCCGUGUCGGUGGCGGGUAUAGGCCGCUAUCUUUUUUUCCUUAAUAUUCUUUCUUGGCCAAGUAACGCUGCGCGGAUGGAAGUGGCGCGGUAUCUAUACCCGCUUAUAUUUUUAAAUUAUCCAUCUUUAAGCGCCACUGUAGCGCAUUUUGUAGUUUUCCGGGGAAAUUUCUGCAUUGGCUUUUCUUCUUUCGUUAUCCACCCUCUAGCUCUGACUUUCGCAGCCUGGACUAGCCGAUAAAGAAUUACCAACCACCGUAUAUCGACCGGCUGGUUGUAUAUCGACUGGAUUUUGUUGGAGAACCACCGUUUUCCCUGGGUGGUGGCGUUUUAACCUCUCCGUAACGCUAUUCUAUUACGGAUAACCCCGAUAUUACGGCCGGGCCAGCCUCUUUUCCUUCGGUUACCGGCUGAUGGAGCCGUCGACCGACCACCGGCCCCGUUGAUACCCGCUUUAACCCCGGAGAAUUUGAUCCGCACCCUUCGAAGCUGCCAUAUUUAAAUGGCGUGUUUAUCCGCCAUUUGAUAGGGUAUCGAGUAGUCCGGCCAGGGGCGGUACCGUAAAGGCCACCGAAUAGUGGUCUUAUCGCUUUUUCCAUUUUAUUCGAUACUGGGUAGCCGUGGAAGGAACUGGUCCGGUCGAUCGAAACCUAAUUCUUCGAUGGUACCAAAACUGGGUAGUCUAUUCGGCCCAGUGUGUCCGGCAGCGUCCGAAAAGGUGGCUGGCUUCCCUUCUCCGUCAACGGUGGCUAUUUAUCGGCCGCCUUCUGUCAUCCGAGGCGAUCCACUGAAAGUCAUCUUAAACGGUGGCCCACCUCGGGAACGUCUCCGACUAGAGCGGGCGUUCGGGCCUAGGCGGCCAAGGGCUAGAGCCACCCGGUCCAGCUGGCGCUGGGACCAAAGUUUCCGUGGUCGGAUGACGCUGUAACUGGGCCAGGCCGGCUAAUUCUAGUAAAUGGAAGGGGACGGAUGGGUAUUGUCGAGGCGUAGAUAGCCGGCCGGUACCGCUCCCACCCUCCUCCUUCUAACAAUGUAUAAUUUCACAGUCGAUAAACACGGCUGCGCCGGGGGAACCGGGUCGAGCUGCAUCCACUCCGCUGCCGACCACGGCUGAGGAAAAGUGGGUUUCCGCUUCUUUUCUAGUCGACCCAAUUCCGUCUCCCCCUCGAUCCGGCUGUCUUGGGUGGCAGCCGGCUUUAUACUUUUGGAG